UCUCAAAGAUUAAGCCAUGCAUGUCUAAGUUCACACCCUCGUACGGUGAAACCGCGAAUGGCUCAUUAAAUCAGUCGAGGUUCCUUAGAUGAUCCAUUUCUACUUGGAUAACUGUGGUAAUUCUAGAGCUAAUACAUGCCCAACAGCUCCGACCCCGGGCUUCGCGGUUCGGGGAAAGAGCGCUUUUAUUAGUUCAAAACCAGUCGGGGGUUUCGGCCCUCGUGCUUUGGUGACUCUGGAUAACUUUGAGCCGAUCGCAUGGCCUCGAGCCGGCGACGCAUCUUUCAAAUGUCUGCCCUAUCAAAUGACGACGGUACGUGAUCUGCCUACCGUGUUGACUACGGGUAGCGGGGAAUCAGGGUUCGAUUCCGGAGAGGGAGCAUGARAAACGGCUACCACAUCCAAGGA
rnacentral:rRNA from 3 species